AGAUAGUAUUAAUUGAUUUGCAAUCAGUUUUGAUGGAUGACCAUACUAUAAU
rnacentral:tRNA from 1 species